rnacentral:rRNA from 1 species
AUUGAACGCUGGCGGCAUGCCUUACACAUGCAAGUCGAACGGUAACAGGUUAAGCUGACGAGUGGCGAGCGGGUGAGUAAUGUAUCGGAACGUGCCCAGUCGUGGGGGAUAACUGCUCGAAAGAGCAGCUAAUACCGCAUACGACCUGAGGGUGAAAGCGGGGGAUCGCAAGACCUCGCGCGAUUGGAGCGGCCGAUAUCAGAUUAGGUAGUUGGUGAGGUAAAGGCUCACCAAGCCGACGAUCUGUAGCUGGUCUGAGAGGACGACCAGCCACACUGGGACUGAGACACGGCCCAGACUCCUACGGGAGGCAGCAGUGGGGAAUUUUGGACAAUGGGCGCAAGCCUGAUCCAGCCAUGCCGCGUGCGGGAAGAAGGCCUUCGGGUUGUAAACCGCUUUUGUCAGGGAAGAAAAGGUUCUGGCUAAUACCUGGGACUCAUGACGGUACCUGAAGAAUAAGCACCGGCUAACUACGU